rnacentral:misc_RNA from 1 species
UACGUAGGGCGCGAGCGUUGUCCGGAGUUACUGGGCGUAAAGGGUGCGCAGGCGGUUCGUUGCGUGGGUGGUGAAAUCUCCUGGCUCAACUGGGAGGGGGCCACGCAAACGGGCGAACUUGAGGCGUGGAGAGGGACGUGGAAUUCCGGGUGGAGCGGUGAAAUGCGUAGAGAUCCGGAGGAACACCGACGGCGAAGGCAGCGUCCUGGCCACGACCUGACGCUCAGGCACGAAAGCUGGGGGAGCAAACAGG